GUCUGACGAGUGGCGGACGGGUGAGUAAAGCUUGGGAAGUCUGUCUUAUGAGGGGGGAGUAACUACGGGAAACUGUAGCUAAUACCGCGUAACAUCUUCGGAUUAAAGUGUGGGCUCUUCGGACCACACGCCAUAAGUUGAGCCCAAGUGGGAUUAGGUAGUUGGUGGGGUAAAGGCCUACCAAGCUGACGAUCUCUAGCUGGUCUGAGAGGAUGACCAGCCACACUGGAACUGAGACACAGUCCAG
rnacentral:rRNA from 1 species